ACAGCUGUGUCAGCCCGUUGGUUCCUUCAGGAUCCCCAGUCAGGACUAUACAGCUGUGUCUGAUCCCGUUGGUUCCUUUUAAGGAUCCCCAGUCAGGACUACACAGCUGUGUGAUCCUGUUGGUUCCUUCAGGAUCCCCAGUCAGGACUAUACAGCUGUCUGAUCCCGUUGGUUCCUUCAGGAUCCCCAGUCAGGACUACACAGCUUUUUAUUUCUGCCGUCUUUUAUAUUAUUAUAUAGCAACGAUUUAAUAAUCAGAAAAACGCUGGACGAAUCUUCAUAGAAAUGUCUUUAAUAUAUGAUUUACUCCUUUUGUUUUUAGAUUUUUUAUUAAAUCAUUUGAGGUUUGUUUUGUUCACCUGUAAGCUUCAAAUUGACUGCACUGUACUCUCAUUACCCUGGCUGACUUGUGAAUCCACAAAUUGCACCCUAUUCCCUAAUGUAGUGCACUACUAUUAACCAGAGGCCUUACUAACCAGUAGUAGUGCACUAUAAAAGGAAUAGCUUAAGGGACCAUUUGGGAGCCUGCUGGUGUGCUGCAUAACUAGAUGAUGUUCUCUCUGUGGUAGUAAUGCUAACGAUGAUAGGUUAGGGAUCAGUGGUAGUAAUGCUAUAAUGCUAAUGAUAGGCUAGGGAUCAGUGGUAGUAAUGCUAUAAUGCUAAUGAUAGGCUAGGGAUCAGUGGUAGUAAUGCUAUAAUGCUAAUGAUAGGCUAGGGAUCAGUGGUAGUAAUGCUAUAAUGCUAAUGGUGAUAGGCUAGGGAUCAGUGGUAGUAAUGCUAUAAUGCCAAUGGUGAUAGGCUAGGGAUCAGUACUAGUAAUGCUAAUGAUGAUAGGCUAGGGAACAGUGGUAGUAAUGCUAAUGAUUAUAGGCUAGGGAUCAGUGGUAGUAAUGCUAAUGAUGAUAGGCUGGGGAACAGUGGUAGUAAUGCUAAUGAUGAUAGGCUAGGGAACAGUGGUAGUAAUGCUAAUGAUGAUAGGCUAGGGAACAGUGGUAGUAAUGCUAAUGGUGAUAGGCUAGGGAACAGUGGUAGUAAUGCUAAUGGUGAUAGGCUAGGGAACAGUGGUAGUAAUGCUAAUGAUAGGCAAGGGAAAAGUCGUAGUAAUGCUAUAAUGCUAAUGAUGAUAGGCUAGUGUUGCAAAAUUCCUGAAACGUUCCCUACAUUUCCAAGGUUUUUUAUUAAUCAUGUUUCAAGGAAUUUCUGAUAUCAGGAAGGAUUAACUAGGGAAGGCAUCCUCCUACUGAGAUUUAUGAGGAAUUUCAGAGUUCUGAAAAGCUUGUAGCUCAAUAACCAGUAUCUGAGCUGUGAAGCACUUUCUGUUGUGUUGCUAGAUUGACCAGGUUGUUGUCAUGGGGAUGGAUGGUGGCAGAACGUGUUGUUGCCACUACUCGUGAUGCUAGCAUGGUCUAGUCCUGAGUCCUGAGUCCCAGCUCUGUUUGUGCUGUCUUGCCAACUCUAUGUGAUUUAUAGGAGUCGCUAAGACAGCACAAACGGAUGUGGGACCAGGCUAAGCAUGGUUCACCUUGGUGUCAAGGGUCAACUAAUCAAGUCAAGUAAUGGCACAUACAUAACCACUGUCUGGAGAGACCUGCAGAGACCUACAGCUAGACUCCCUAACACAGUGUCUGUUCAGACUGAUUCAUUAGAGCUAGACUCACUAACACAGUGUCUGUUCAGACUAAUGCUUUGAGUACUGAGUAGUGACUUGUUUCAGUGCCUAAUGCCUUGAGUACUGAGUAAUGACUUGUUUCAGUGCCUAAUGCCUUGAGUACUGAGUAGUGACUUGUUUCAGUGCCUAAUGCCUUGAGUACUGAGUAUUGACUUGUUUCAGUGCCUUUAUUGUAGAAUGACUUGUUGGUUGGUCUGUAGAUAGUUUUCAGAUGCCACCUCCCCUUCUCUUGAAGCCCAGCUCACCUAUCUCUGAGUUGGUGGACAGGACAGGUUCCUACCCUUAAAAAUGUACGUGUGAUCAGGGUGGUUGGCAGGUAGCCAAGGAGCGCUACAGUUCACUCCAAGCAACUCGUAUCAAGCAGAUCACACAAUUUACCACGGCCAACAGCAGGCCUGGUCUACAGGGUAAUAGUAGUGUGGGUAGGAGCCACUGUCUGGAGUCAGAUCAGAUUAACUUCAUUAAUAACCCACUGUCUGGAGUCAGACCAGAUUAACAUCAUUAAUAACCCACUGUCUGGAGUCAGACCAGAUUAACAUCAUCAAUAACCCACUGUCUGGAGUUCAUUAAUAACCCACUGUCUGGAGUCAAACCAGAUUAACAUCAUCAAUAACCCACUGUCUGGAGUUCAUUAAUAACCCACUGUCUGGAGUCAGACCAGAUUAACUUCAUUAAUAACCCACUGUCUGGAGUCAAACCAGAUUAACUUAAUUAAUAACCCACUGUCUGGAGUUCAUUAAUAACCCACUGUCUGGAGUCAAACCAGAUUAACAUCAUUAAUAACCCACUGUCUGGAGUCAGACCAGAUUAACUUCAUUAAUAACCCACUGUUUGGAGUUCAUUAAUAACCCACUGUCUGGAGUCAAACCAGAUUAACUUCAUUAAUAACCCACUGUCUGGAGUCAGACCAGAUUAACUUCAUUAAUAACCCACUGUCUGGAGUCAAACCAGAUUAACUUAAUUAAUAACCCACUGUCUGGAGUUCAUGAAUACCCACUGUCUGGAGUCAAACCAGAUUAACAUCAUUAAUAACCCACUGUCUGGAGUCAAACCAGAUUAACAUCAUUAAUAACCCACUGUCUGGAGUCAGACCAGAUUAACAUCAUUAAUAACCCACUGUCUGGAGUCAGACCAGAUUAACUUCAUUAAUAACCCACUGUCUGGAGUCAGACCAGAUUUACUUCAUUAAUAACCCACUGUCUGGAGUUAGACCAGAUUAACAUCAUUAAUAACCCACUGUCUGGAGUUAGACCAGAUUAACAUCAUUAAUAACCCACUGUCUGGAGUCAGACCAGAUUAACAUCAUUCAUAACCCACUGUCUGGAGUCAGACCAGAUUUACUUCAUUAAUAACCCACUGUCUGGAGUUAGACCAGAUUAACAUCAUUAAUAACCCACUGUCUGGAGUCAGACCAGAUUAACAUCAUUCAUAACCCACUGUCUGGAGUCAGACCAGAUUAACAUAAUUCAUAACCCACUGUCUGGAGUCAGACCAGAUUAACAUAAUUCAUAACCCACUGUCUGGAGUUAGACCAGAUUAACAUCAUUCAUAACCCACUGUCUGGAGUUAGACGAGAUUAACAUCAUUCAUAACCCACUGUCUGGAGUUAGACGAGAUUAACAUCAUUCAUAACCCACUGUCUGGAGUUAGACGAGAUUAACAUCAUUAAUAACCCACUGUCUGGAGUCAAACCAGAUUAACAUCAUUAAUAACCCACUGUCUGGAGUUAGACCAGAUUAACAUCAUUCAUAACCCACUGUCUGGAGUUAGACGAGAUUAACAUCAUUCAUAACCCACUGUCUGGAGUCAGACCAGAUUAACUUCAUUAAUAACCCACUGUCUGGAGUUAGACGAGAUUAACAUCAUUAAUAACCCACUGUCUGGAGUCAGACCAGAUUAACAUCAUUCAUAACCCACUGUCUGGAGUCAGACCAGAUUAACAUAAUUCAUAACCCACUGUCUGGAGUCAGACCAGAUUAACAUAAUUCAUAACCCACUGUCUGGAGUUAGACCAGAUUAACAUCAUUCAUAACCCACUGUCUGGAGUCAGACCAGAUUAACAUCAUUCAUAACCCACUGUCUGGAGUCAGACCAGAUUAACAUCAUUCAUAACCCACUGUCUGGAGUUAGACCAGAUUAACAUCAUUCAUAACCCACUGUCUGGAGUCAGACCAGAUUAACAUCAUUCAUAACCCACUGUCUGGAGUUAGACCAGAUUAACAUCAUUCAUAACCCACUGUCUGGAGUCAGACCAGAUUAACAUCAUUCAUAACCCACUGUCUGGAGUCAGACCAGAUUAACAUCAUUCAUAACCCACUGUCUGGAGUCAAACCAGAUUAACAUCAUUCAUAACCCACUGUCUGGAGUUAGACGAGAUUAACAUCAUUCAUAACCCACUGUCUGGAGUCAGACCAGAUUAACAUCAUUCAUAACCCACUGUCUGGAGUCAGACCAGAUUAACAUCAUUCAUAACCCACUGUCUGGAGUCAGACCAGAUUAACUUCCGUGAUAAUGAAUGCUAAAUUAGCAUGCUAUAUUGAUAUGCUAUUAUGGACCACCAUGACUGGUAACAUGAACGACCUGAAUGUUUAUUACCCCUGUCACCACUACCUUUUCUGGGAAUGACUGCAGCCUUGUAUCGUACUGUGAUGACCUGGGAUGUGUUCAUUGGGCACCAAACAGUAGAAAACUGAUUUAAAACAGGGAGGGACUACCUGCACUAGUAGUCCAAUAACAAACACUAAAAUGUAUAUUUUCCUGUUGUAAAACAUUUUUGCUAGAAUUCAGAUGGCACCAUUUGUCACGAUUGUCGUUGGGAGAAGGAGAAGAGGACCAAAGAGCAGCUUGGUAUACUGGAACAAAAACAACAGACCGACAAACGAACAGUUCUGCAAGGUGCAACAAAAACACUAAACAGAAAAUUCAAAACAUAGAAUACCCACCCCAACUCACGCCCUGACCAAACUAAAACAGAGACAUAAAAAAGGAACUAAGGUCAGGGCGUGACACCAUUCUUCCAUAGGGUUUGAAAGAAGUGCACUUUUUUAUUUUUUAUUAGUGCUAGCUUUGGAGUAGGCUAGCUCUGGAGUAGGCUAGCUUUGGAGUAGGCUAGCUUUGGAGUAGGCUAGCUUUGGAGUAGGCUAGCUCUGGAGUAGGCUAGCUCUGGAGUAGGCUAGCUCUGGAGUAGGCUAGCUUUGGAGUAGGCUAGCUUUGGAGUAGGCCAGCUUUGGAGUAGGCUAGCUUUGGAGCAGGCUAGCUUUGGAGCAGGCCAGCUUUGGAGUAGGCCAGCUUUGGAGCAGGCUAGCUUUGGAGCAGGCUAGCUUUGCUCGGUCUAUGUAGUCCCCUUAACUAUUGCUGUUGUGUGGUUUUAAUUAUGUCAAUGAUCUUUCACUUUAUGCCUCGGCACCACUGUUAUUAUGUUUUCAUUCAUGCUGUCUGUGAUAUUUUGUUGUUGUUGUUGUUGUUUCUUAUUUGUUUUGUUUAUAAUUAAACUCUUCUCUCUGUGUCCACUAAUUACAAUGAAUAAAUAAACUUACCUCGGAGUUUAAAGGUCCCAUUCAGUUUGUAUGCAGUAAAGUCAUACCAUAUUU
ensembl:lncRNA